rnacentral:rRNA from 1 species
UACGUAGGUGGCAAGCGUUAUCCGGAAUUAUUGGGCGUAAGGCGCGCGCAGGCGGUCCUUUAAGUCUGAUGUGAAAGCCCACGGCUCAACCGUGGAGGGUCAUUGGAAACUGGGGGACUUGAGUGCAGAAGAGGAGAGCGGAAUUCCACGUGUAGCGGUGAAAUGCGUAGAGAUGUGGAGGAACACCAGUGGCGAAGGCGGCUCUCUGGUCUGUAACUGACGCUGAGGCGCGAAAGCGUGGGGAGCGAACAGG